CCUACGGGUGACUGCAGUGGGGAAUAUUGCACAAUGGGGGAAACCCUGAUGCCGCGACGCCGCGUGAGUGAAGAAGUAUUUCGGUAUGUAAAGCUCUAUCAGCAGGGAAGAAGCAAGACGGUACCUGACUAAGAAGCCCCGACUAACUACGUGCCAGCAGCCUCGGUCAUAUGGAGGGGGCACGCGUUAGCCGGAUUUACUGGGUGUAAAGGGAGCGUAGGCGGUAGGGCAAGUCUGAAGGGAAAGCCCAGGGCUUAAACCUGGGACCGCUUUGGAAACUGUUAGACUAGAGUGCUGGAGAGGGAAGUGGAAUUCCUAGUGUAGCGGUGAAAUGCGUACAUAUUACGAGGAACAACAGUGGCGAAGGCGGCUUACUGGACAGUAACUGACGUUGAGGCUCGAAAGCGUGGGGAGCAAACAGGAUUAGAUACCCGGGUAGUC
rnacentral:rRNA from 1 species